rnacentral:lncRNA from 1 species
GGGCACAUAGCAAGGCAAUGUGUCCACUCUAAACCGACAUACACACAACCAGAAACCCCUUCAACCACUGAGGCUAACAAGGAAACAAACGAGUAGCAACUAGUCACAUUCCCAAAGCGGUGACACACAUCUAAACCAACAAAGGAACAAAACAACAAUCACAAACCCCACCCGCAGGUAAGGGUCACAGAAGGUUCACUGUGUACAUCCUCUGAAACCCUUUAACGUUUAUGAUUGUUGAUCGGCCGACCGCAUUCCCAAAGGUAAUUGAAUCAAGACACUUUGUAAGAGAGGUGUAAUUUGGACGUAAAAGUAACUGGUAAAGUUGUUGC